ensembl:lncRNA
UGUGAUGGAUCUUUGUAAACAGCCAAAGAACAUCAUAACGUGUCUGUGUUGUGAUGUCUCUCUCUUUGCUCUGUCUCACUCUGGUCUCUCUUUCCCUGGUCUCUCUCUCUCCUCCAGUCUCUCUUUCUCCUGUCUCCCUGUUCUUUCUCCAGUGUCUGUCUCUCUCUGGUCUCUCUCACUCUCUGGUCUCUCUUUGUUUCUGGUCGGCCUCUCUUUCCGGUUUCUCUCCGAUCUGUCUCCCUCUCCAGUUUGUACAGUUUAUGUCCCAUUAAAUGCAUCUCAGCCUGGUCCUCAUUGUUGACCCUGUGGAACCAUCUAGAAUGUGGAGUUACAUGUAUUUCUGGGGAACUGUUUGUUGUCCUAAAUGGCUCCCUAGCCCCUUGGUGCACUGCUUUUGCCCGGGACCUGUGGGGUCUGAUCAGAAAUACUGCACUCUGAAGGGACCAGGGUGGCAUUUGGGACAUAGGUACUGUUUGUGUCUCAGGUGGCCUACUAUUGGAGGAAGCAACUACUAGCUGAUCCUAGAUCUGCGGUUAGGAUUGGUGUCUAUUCGUCUUAUCCAAUACCUGUGGCUAGAUUAGUGUCUUACUCUUCAGGUUAGGGCUGGUCCUAGAUCUGUGAUUAGGUUAGUAUCUAAUUAAUCUGAUAAGGAUGGUGGAAUCGUAAGAUGAUCCUCAGUCUUUGGUUUAAGGAUCAGUUAUACCCUGGAUUUGUGCCAUCAUUCCAGUCCCAGUAGGCCAAACACAGCUUGGGACAGGAAGUGGCAGGUAGGGCUAUGACAUCACAAAUGAGUACCAGGCUACCAUAAAUGGUCUAGUAUAGAAAAAUCAUUGUAGGAAUAUUUUGUCAUUAAAUCCAAGAUGACGGACACUAUAUCCCCACUCUGAAUUAUGACACCUUAGUUUUUCCAUAAUUUCCAAGCAAGUUCUUAUUUUAUAUUGAAUUACUUUUACAAUGUGUAAAUGGACUAGUCAGUUUGUCUUUUUGUUUUAGUUUGUUUUUAAGACAUUUCCAUCGUGAAUUGCAUUUAAUGCCAUGUUAUGUGGUCGCAUGUGGGCGUCAUCCAAAAUGGCACCCAAUUCCUUAUGAAGCGCACUUCCCGCCUCUGGUUAAAAGCGCUAUUAGAGGGAGCAGAGGGUCAUUUGGGGCGCUUGUUGGAAUCCCCUUGAAAAAAUAGCCCUAUAAUUGACAUGCUGUUUUUAUUAGCGUCACCUUAUUUUAGGAAAUAAAUUUGGCUGUAAGGGAGUUAUGAACGCAACACAGGGCGGGGUUGCUGAUCCAAGAUCGGUGUUGCUGCUUUGAUCAUUCGACCAAUCAAAUAGCGUUACAUGACCGGGGGGGGGGGGGUGGCGAGGCGCGGUUUCCUGAUGUCAGGUGAAAAACGGUGUGCCUUCUCCACUGUCAGCUGUAAGAAUCGUAGAUUGCUGAUUGUCACGGAAACCCGUCAAUACAUGUAUAUUCUGUUUUUAAAAUGUUCAAAUACUUUUAGUUUUAGCUUAUUUGUUGAACAACGUCAGGCUUUGUGUCGUCAUUGAGCCUGCUCUUCACUAUGUAAAUAUGUACAUUGCCAUAUUUCCUAUGUUUCUGCCUGCAGCCGUUUGACAGCCAGACAGUCACUUGAAGUUUAUGAAUGACUGACUAGCUAUGUCAGAGCGCAGGAUUCACUUGUACAUUUCUUUUUUAAAAGGUACUUCGUUAAUAAAGACAUUGAAG